GUACAGUGGCGUACGGGUGAGUAACACGUGGGUAAUCUACCCUUUGGUGGGGAAUAACUCUGGGAAACCGGAGCUAAUACCGCAUAAUCCUGAGAAGGAAAAGCAGCAAUGCGCCGAAGGAGGAGCCCGCGGCCGAUUAGCUAGUUGGUGGGGUAACGGCCCACCAAGGCAAAGAUCGGUAGCCGGCCUGAGAGGGCACACGGCCACACUGGCACUGAAACACGGGCCAGACUCCUACGGGAGGCAGCAGUGGGGAAUCUUGCACAAUGGGGGAAACCCUGAUGCAGCGACGCCGCGUGAGCGAUGAAGCCCUUCGGGGUGUAAAGCUCUUUCGGCAGGGAAGAUUAUGACGGUACCUGCAGAAGCAGCUGCGGCUAACUACGUGCCAGCAGCCGCGGUAAUACGUAGGCAGCAAGCGUUGUUCGGAGUUACUGGGCGUAAAGGGUGUGUAGGCGGCUUUUUAAGUUUGGUGUGAAAUCUCCCGGCUCAACCGGGAGGGUGCGCCGAAUACUGAGAGGCUAGAGUGCGGGAGAGGAAAGUGGAAUUCCUGGUGUAGCGGUGAAAUGCGUAGAUAUCAGGAGGAACACCGGUGGUGUAGACGGCUUUCUGGACCGUAACUGACGCUGAAACACGAAAGCGUGGUAGCAAACAGGAUUAGAUACCCUGGUAGUCCACGCCCUAAACGAUGCAUAUUUGGUGUGGGUCAUUCAGUUGAUCCGUGCCGGAGCUAACGCGUUAAAUAAGCCGCCUGGGGGAGUACAGUCGCAAGGCUGAAACUCAAAGGAAUUGACGGGGGCCCGCACAAGCGGUGGAGCAUGUGGUACAAUUCGACGCAACGCGAAGAAC
rnacentral:rRNA from 1 species